rnacentral:rRNA from 1 species
AUUGAACGCUGGCGGCAGGCCUAACACAUGCAAGUCGAACGAGUGGCGGACGGGUGAGUAAUGUCUGGGAUACUGCCUGAUGGAGGGGGAUAACUACUGGACACGGUAGAUAAUACCGCAUACCAUCAGAUGUGCCCAGAUGGUAUUAGCUAGUUGGUGGGGUAACGGCUCACCAAGGCGACGCUCCCUAGCUGGUCUGAGAGGAUGACCAGCCACACGGGAACUGCAACACGGUCCAGACUCCUACGGGAGGCAGCAGUGGGGAAUAUUGCACAAUGGGCGCAAGCCGGAUGCAGCCAUGCCGCGUGUAUGAAGAAGGCCUUCGGGUUGUAAAGUACUUUCAGCGGGGAGGCGUUACCCGCAGAAGAAGCACCGGCUAACUCCGUGCCAGCAGCCGCGGUAAUAC